CAGGACAGGCGCGCAACUUACAAGCUAACUACUUGAGGAAAGUCCGAGCUCCACUGGGCAGGAUGCUGGUUAAUUGCCAGAGAGGGAAACCUCUGGAUAGGGCCACAGAAAAAAACUACUAUCUUUUGAUAGUACAGGUGAAAAGGCGAGGUAAAAGCUCACCGGCAGAAGAGCGAUCUUCUGGCCAGGCAACCCCCAUCCGGAGCAAGGCCAAAUAGGGAAGGAGACUGCCCAGGUCGCUAUUACUUCCGGGUAGGCCGCAAGAGACUGAGGGAAACUUCAGUCCCAGAUAAAUGGUUGCGAUCCCUUUGUGGGAUACAGAACUCGGCUUAUAGCCUGUCCUGUGUU
rnacentral:RNase_P_RNA from 2 species